rnacentral:rRNA from 1 species
UGGGGAAUUUUGGACAAUGGGGGCAACCCUGAUCCAGCCAUCCCGCGUGUGCGAUGAAGGCCUUCGGGUUGUAAAGCACUUUUGGCAGGGAAGAAACAGCCUGGGCUAAUAUCCCGGGCGACUGACGGUACCUGCAGAAUAAGCACCGGCUAACUACGUGCCAGCAGCCGCGGUAAUACGUAGGGUGCAAGCGUUAAUCGGAUUUACUGGGUGUAAAGGGUGCUCAGGCGGAUUUGUAAGUCAGAGGUGAAAUCUUACAGCUUAACUGUGAAGCUGCCUUUGAUACUGCAAGCCUGAAGUAUGGAGGGGAGUGAUGGAAUAUCUGGUGUAGCAGUGAAAUGCGUAGAUAUCAGAUAGAACACCAAUGGCGAAGGCAGUCACUUGGUCCAUUACUGACGCUAGAGCACGAAAGCGUGGGUAGCAAAC